rnacentral:rRNA from 1 species
AUGAACGCUAGCGGCAGGCUUAACACAUGCAAGUCAGGGGUAGAAGGAGCUUGCUCCUUUGAAGACCGGGCGCACGGGGUGCGUAACGCGUAUGCAAUCUACCUUUUUGCAGAGGGAUAGCCCAGAGAAAUUUGGAUUAAUACCUCAUAGUAUGUGAGGAUGGCAUCAUUUUCACAUUAAAGUCACAACGGCAAAAAGAUGAGCAUGCGUCCCAUUAGCUAGUUGGUAAGGUAACGGCUUACCAAGGCUACGAUGGGUAGGGGUCCUGAGAGGGAGAUCCCCCACACUGGUACUGAGACACGGACCAGACUCCUACGGGAGGCAGCAGUGAGGAAUAUUGGACAAUGGGCGCAAGCCUGAUCCAGCCAUGCCGCGUGCAGGAUGACGGUCCUAUGGAUUGUAAACUGCUUUUGUACAGGAAGAAACACUACUUCGUGAAGUAGCUUGACGGUACUGUAAGAAUAAGGAUCGGCUAACUCCGUG